rnacentral:tRNA from 1 species
GUUUCUGUAGUGUAGUGGUCAUCACGUUCGCCUCACACGCGAAAGGUCCCUGGUUCGAAACCAGGCAGAAACA